GACGUAGGGCGCGAGCGUUGUCCGGAUUUAUUGGGCGUAAAGAGCUCGUAGGCGGCUCAUUGCGUCAACCGUGAAAUCCUGCUGCUCAACGGCAGGUCUGCGGUUGAUACGGGUGGGCUGGAGUUCGGUAGGGGAGACUGGAAGUUCCUGGUGUAGCGGUGAAAUGCGCAGAUAUCAGGAGGAACACCGGUGGCGAAGGCGGGUCUCUGGGCCGAUACUGACGCUGAGGAGCGAAAGCCAGGGGAGCAAACGGG
rnacentral:rRNA from 1 species